GGGGCUGUAGCGCAGUUGGGAGCGCGAUUGAAUGGCAUUCAAUAGGCCGAGGGUUCGAUUCCCUUCAGCUCCA
rnacentral:tRNA from 1 species